CCUACGGGAGGCAGCAGUGGGGAAUAUUGGACAAUGGGGGGAACCCUGAUCCAGCGACGCCGCGUGAGUGAAGAAGUAUUUCGGAAUGUAAAGCUCUAUCAGCAGGGAAGAAAAGGACGGUACCUGACGAAGAAGCCCCGGCGAACGACGUGCCAGCAGCCGCGGGAAUACGUAGGGGGCAAGCGUGAUCCGGAGUGACUGGGUGUAAAGGGAGCGUAGACGGGGCAGCAAGUCUGAUGUGAAAGGUCGGGGCCCCACCCCGGGACUGCAUUGGAAACUGUGGACCUGUAGUUCAGUAUAGGUAAGCGUAUUUCCUCGUGUAGCGGUCACAUGCGUAGAUCUUAGUCG
rnacentral:rRNA from 1 species